GCCGCCGUGAAGGAAGAAGGCUUUCGAGUUGUAAACUUCUUUGACGAGGGACGAAUAAAUGACGGUACCUCGAAAACAAGCCACGGCUAACUACGUGCCAGCAGCCGCGGUAAUACGUAGGUGGCAAGCGUUACCCGGAUUUACUGGGUGUAAAGGGCGUGUAGGCGGGACAGCAAGUCUGACGUGCAAUCUAGGGGCUUAACCCCUAAACUGCGUUGGAAACUGCAGUUCUUGAGUUAUGGAGAGGCAGGCGGAAUUCCUAGUGUAGCGGUGAAAUGCGUAGAUAUUAGGAGGAACACCAGUGGCGAAGGCGGCCUGCUGGACAUACACUGACGCUGAGGCGCGAAAGCGUGGGGAGCAAACAGGAUUAGAUACCCUGGUAGUCCACGCUGUAAACGAUGAAUACUAGGUGUGGGAGGACUAACCCCUUCCGUGCCGGAGCUAACGCAAUAAGUAUUCCACCUGAGUAGUACGAUCGCAAGAUUAAAACUCAAAGGAAUUGACGGGGCCCCGCACAAGCAGUGGAUUAUGUGGUUUAAUUCGAAGCAACGCGAAGAACCUUACCAGGGCUUGACAUGGAGACGACAGGUGUAGAGAUACACCCUUCUUCGGACGUCUCACACAGGUGGUGCAUGGUUGUCGUCAGCUCGUGUCGUGAGAUGUUGGGUUAAGUCCCGCAACGAGCGCAACCC
rnacentral:rRNA from 1 species